GACAGAGGUGCCGAGCGUUAGGCGGAAUCACUGGGCUUAAAGCGUGUGUAGGCGGAUGGGUAAGUACCUUGUGAAAUCCCACGGCUCAACCCGUGGAACUGCUCGGUAUACUGCUCGUCUUGAGCCAACUAGGGGCGACCGGAACAAACGGUGGAGCGGUGAAAUGCGUAGAUAUCGUUUGGAACGCCGAUGGUGAAAACAGGUCGCUGGGGUUGUGCUGACGCUGAGACACGAAAGCCAGGGGAGCGAACGGG
rnacentral:rRNA from 1 species